rnacentral:rRNA from 1 species
GCUUAUCACCAUUCCAGAUUGAAUAUACCCGAUCUCGUCUGAUCUCGGAAGUCAAGCAAUCUCGGGCUUGGUUAGUACUUGGAUGGGUGGCAACUUGGGAAUACCAAGUGUGAUAAGC